ensembl:lncRNA
GUAAAAGUUCAGGUGACAGAGGCUUCUCAUUGGCUAAGCUGAGGCCCUUUUCAUUGGCUGGGCUUGUUGCUGGGCGAUGGGAGUUUUCCAUCCUCCUGCUAGGGUAGUAGAGUAGUUGCACUUCCUGAUGGAGUUAGUACCUGAUGUCUUCCUGUUGGGCAAGGACCAAAGAAAGAGCCAGACUUGUCAAGUUGCAGUGAUCGUAUUUUAUUGACAUUGAACUUCUUGAGGCUGGAGUUGUAUCUCUAUUCGUUACAGAUUCCGUAUCAUUGAGGUCCUCACUUAAGAGUUGUUUCUAGAAAUGAGAAGAUGGAACUAACGGAUGGAAGAAUGCACACCUGAAUGUGUCAGCGGAUGGGGGCUUUGAUGAUGCUAGACUUGUGUCUACAAGGCAGGGAGAAUUUUCGUUGGUCGGCAGAAAGAAAAACCUCUUUUACUUCAAGCCCAAGACCACCACCAUCAUCACUGACUCCUCUUCUCUGCCCCAGGGUCUCUAAAUAAACUUUCUCUCCUUUCACUGACAAACAGUGUUCUGUUUAGUUGGAGAGUGACCUGUGGCAAUCUGGAAAACUGCCCCCACCUUUUGUUAGUGUUAUAGAGCAAGUGGAAUGUGAUGAAUAGAGGCAUAAUCAAGUGAGUCAGGAGGAAAGAUGUAGUUUUCUCCUUUGUUCCGGUUUAAGAGAUUUGCUAAUGAAAUGUGUGUUUGGGUUGUGGUUUGGGAUAGGUUGUAAGGGUUUCUGGCUAUGAAAAGAGCCUACUUGUUUUUUGAUGGACCUUCUAAACUGGCUGGGCUGGAGGGUACAAUAACCAGAAAGCUUGUAACCAGAUCAACAUUAGCUCAUACUUCUAGUUUCACUUGUUGGUAAUUAGUUAUGAAGAUACCCAUUUUUCUAGAAAC